rnacentral:rRNA from 1 species
GAUGAACGCUGGCGGCGUGCUUAACACAUGCAAGUCGAACGAUGAAGCCCAGCUUUCUGGGUGUAUUAGUGGCGAACGGGUGAGUAACACGUGAGUAACCUGCCCUUAACUCUGGGAUAAGCCUGGGAAACUGGGUCUAAUACAGGAUAGGAGCGUCCACCGCAUGUGGGGUGUUGGAGAGAUUUAUCGGUUUUGGAUGGACUCGCGGCCUAUCAGCUUGUUGGUGAGGUAAUGGCUCACCAAGGCGACGACGGGUAGCCGGCCUGAGAGGGUGACCGGCCACACUGGGACUGAGACACGGCCCAGACUCCUACGGGAGGCAGCAGUGGGGAAUAUUGCACAAUGGGCGCAAGCCUGAUGCAGCGACGCCGCGUGAGGGAUGACGGCCUUCGGGUUGUAAACCUCUUUCAGUAGGGAAGAAGCGAAAGUGACGGUAACUGCAGAAGAAGCACCGGCUAACUACGUG